rnacentral:misc_RNA from 1 species
AAAGUCGUAACAAGGUUUCCGUAGGUGAACCUGCGGAAGGAUCAUUACUGAAGGCAUAGAGUGCCUUGAGACUGCGCCUUCAAACGGCGCGUGCUCGGACUCUUAUUCUUUCUUAUCCACACACACCUCUGUGCACCAAUGGGACGCAAGUCCCCUUUUUCACACGAAUACCAAGUUAUAUGCAUGUAUUAACAUUUAACUAAAUGUAACAACUUUCAACAACGGAUCUCUUGGCUUUC